AUACGUAGGGUGCAAGCGUUAAUCGGAAUUACUGGGCGUAAAGCGUGCGCAGGCGGUUUUGUAAGACAGAGGUGAAAUCCCCGGGCUCCACCUGGGAACUGCCUUUGUGACUGCAAGGCCAGAGUACGGCAGAGGGGGAUGGAAUUCCGCGUGGAGCAGUGAAAUGCGUAGAUAUGCGGAGGAACACCGAUGGCGAAGGCAAUCCCCUGGGCCUGUACUGACGCUCAUGCACGAAAGCGUGGGGAGCAAACAGGAUUAGAUACCCUGGUAGUCCGCGCCCUAAACGAUGUCAACUGGUUGUUGGGUCUUCAUUGACUCAGUAACGAAGCUAACGCGUGAAGUUGACCGCCUGGGGAGUACGGCCGCAAGGUUGAAACUCAAAUGAAUUGACGGGG
rnacentral:rRNA from 1 species